GGAGGCUGAGGCAGGAGAAUUGCUUGAACCCAGGAGGCAGAGGUUGCAGUGAGCCAAGAUUACACCACUGCACUCUAGCCUAGGGGAAAAGAGCGAGACUUCCUCUC